rnacentral:rRNA from 1 species
UGCAAGUCGAACGGUAAGGCCCUUUCGGGGGUACACGAGUGGCGAACGGGUGAGUAACACGUGGGUGACCUGCCCUGUACUUCGGGAUAAGCCUGGGAAACUGGGUCUAAUACCGGAUAUGACCUUCUCCUGCAUGGGGGUUGGUGGAAAGCUUUUGCGGUACAGGAUGGGCCCGCGGCCUAUCAGCUUGUUGGUGGGGUAAUGGCCUACCAAGGCGACGACGGGUAGCCGGCCUGAGAGGGCGACCGGCCACACUGGGACUGAGACACGGCCCAGACUCCUACGGGAGGCAGCAGUGGGGAAUAUUGCACAAUGGGCGCAAGCCUGAUGCAGCGACGCCGCGUGAGGGAUGACGGCCUUCGGGUUGUAAACCUCUUUCAGUAGGGACGAAGCGCAAGUGACGGUACCUACAGAAGAAGCACCGGCCAACUACGUGCCAGCAGCCGCGGUAAUACGUAGGGUGCAAGCGUUGUCCGGAAUUACUGGGCGUAAAGAGCUCGUAGGCGGUUUGUCACGUCGUCUGUGAAAACCCGAGGCUUAACCUCGGGCCUGCAGGCGAUACGGGCAUACUUGAGUACUGUAGGGGAGACUGGAAUUCCUGGUGUAGCGGUGGAAUGCGCAGAUAUCAGGAGGAACACCGGUGGCGAAGGCGGGUCUCUGGGCAGUAACUGACGCUGAGGAGCGAAAGCGUGGGUAGCGAACAGGAUUAGAUACCCUGGUAGUCCACGCCGUAAACGGUGAGUACUAGGUGUGGGUUUCCUUCCACGGGAUCCGUGCCGUAGCUAACGCAUUAAGUACCCCGCCUGGAGAGUACGGCCGCAAGGCUAAAACUCAGAGGAAUUGACGGGCGCCCGCACAAGCGGCGGAGCAUGUGGAUUAAUUCGAUGCAACGCGAA